rnacentral:tRNA from 1 species
UUCCGUUUCGUCUAAUGGUAGGACGACAGUCUCUGACACUGUAAAUGUAAGUUCGAUUCUUACAACGGAAA